UCCCUGGAGGACCAGAGGUUAGGCCACAGCAUUCUCACCGCUGAGGCCAGGGUUCGUUUCCCAGCCAGGGAA